ensembl:lncRNA
CUCUAGGUGGUGCCGUAAUGCCAGUGUGCUUUUCUUUGCAGAGUGGCUCUCCAGUCAGGGAAGAUGGUCUUCUGCGGGAAGCACUGAAGGAUGAACCGAUAGAGACGAGCAGAACGCAGAUUUCAUUAUUCGGUGGUUUUGGUCCUCGGUGUGCUACUGGACCAGAUCACUGGAGCCGCUUCCCCGGAGGCCAAAUCCAGCAGAUUUAUGACCGGACGUCUCCCCACAUGAAGGCUCUCUUCUUUUGUUUUUUUCCUCCUCUUUUUUUUUUGUAAAUUCCACUUCAUUUUUAAUCUGCACUUGGACUCCUUUCUGAGACACUGAAUGUUUUUGUGAGUGUAAAAUCUUGCUUUACUUGCAGCGCAGUGAACCAAUAGAUCUGUGGCAGCGAAUAAAGGUUUCAUUUAUCCCCU